UUUCUUGGAAACAAAUAAAGGAAAGUCUAAAAUUAUUUUUCUUACCUUCUUGUAGCAGUGUAAACAGUGAAAACGGGGUUGUGGGAGAGCACAAUAUAAGCUCUGUGAUGCUAGGCUAAACUGUUGAGUCCUGCAUCUUAGAUGGUGAGAGUUCAGUAGCCAAAAGAAUCAUUGGCUUACGCUCUAAUCUCAGUAGCAUGGAGCACUUGGAAUCCCCGUGUGAAUCAGCAAGGACCACCUUGCAAGGCUAAAUACUCCUGGGUGACCAAUAGCUAAGUAGUACGGUGAGAGAAAGGUGAAAAGAACCCCAUCGAGAAGUGAAAUAGCACAUGAAA
rnacentral:ncRNA from 1 species